GGGAACCCCUAUCGGGUUCAGACUAAGCCAUGCGAGUCGGCUGGGGGCACUUGCUCCUGGCGGCGCACGGCUCAGUAAUACGCGGUCAACCUACCCUGGGGACCGGGAUAACCUCGGGAAACUGAGGCUAAUCCCGGAUGGGUGUAGGGUGCUGAAAUGCCCCUACGCCGAAAGUAGGCGGGAAAUGGACCGCUGAGGCCCCAGGAUGGGACCGUGGCCUAUCAGGUAGUAGGUGGGGUAACGGCCCACCUAGCCUACGACGGGUACGGGCCUGAGAGGGGGAGCCCGGAGAUGGCACUGAGACAAGGGUCUAGGCCCUAAGGGGCGCAGCAGGCGCGAAGAUUCCGCAAUGCCCGAAAGGGCGACGGAGUGAACCCGAGUGCCACCCGCUGAGGGUGGCCGUUCGCCUGUGUAAAAAGCAGGGGGUAGGAAGGGGAGGGCAAGGCUGGUGGCAGCCGCCGCGGUAAAACCAGCUCCCCGAGGGGUUCCCACGCAUACUGGGCCUAAAGCGUCCGUAGCCGGCCCUGUAAGUCCGCAGUUAAAUCCGCCUGUAGACAGGCGGGCUGCUGCGGAUACUGCAGGGCUAGGAGUGGGAGGAGCCGGGGUAUUCCCGGGGGAGCGGUAAAAUGCGUAGAUCCCGGGAGGACCACCAGUGGCGAAGGCGCCCGGCUUGAACGCGUCCGACGGUGAGGGACGAAAGCUGGGGGAGCAAACCGGAUUAGAUACCCGGGUAGUCCCAGCCGUAAACGAUGCCGGCUAGGUGCUGGCCAAGGUUUCGACCUUGGCCAGUGUCGAAGCGAAGGCAUUAAGCCGGCCGCCUGGGGAGUACGGCCGCAAGGCUGAAACUUGAAGGAAUUGACGGGGGGGCACCACAAGGGGUGAAUGCCUGCGGCUUAAUUGGACUCAACGCCGGGAAUCUUACCGGGGGCGACAGCAGGAUGAAGGUCAGGCUGAAGACCUUACCAGACGCGCUGAGGGGUGGUGCAUGGCCGUCGCCAGCUCGUGCCGUGAGGUGUCCUGUUAAGUCAGGCAACGAGCGAGACCCCCGCCCCUAGUUGCCAGCGGCCUCCUUCGGGAGGGACCGGGCAAACUAGGGGGACCGCCCCCGAAGAGGAGGAGGAAGGUGGGGGCUACGGCAGGUCAGUAUGCCCCUAAUCCCCCGGGCCGCACGCGGGCU
rnacentral:rRNA from 1 species